rnacentral:rRNA from 1 species
UACAGAGGGGGCAAGCGUUUAUUCGGAAUUAUUGGGCGUAAAGGGCGCGUAGGCGGCUUGGCAAGUGGAUGGUGAAAUCCCUCGGCUUAACCGAGGAACUGCCGUCCAAACUGCUUCGCUUGAGACCGGGAGAGGUGAGUGGAAUUCCCAGUGUAGCGGUGAAAUGCGUAGAUAUUGGGAGGAACACCAGUGGCGAAGGCGGCUCACUGGACCGGUACUGACGCUGAUGCGCGAAAGCGUGGGGAUCAAACAGG